rnacentral:rRNA from 1 species
CAGUAGCCGCGGUAAUGCGAAGGGUGCAAGCGUUACUCGGAAUUACUGGGCGUAAAGCGUGCGUAGGUGGUGGUUUAAGUCCGUUGUGAAAGCCCUGGGCUCAACCUGGGAAUUGCAGUGGAUACUGGGUCACUAGAGCGUGGUAGAGGAUAGUGGAAUUUCCGGUGUAGCAGUGAAAUGCGUAGAUAUGCGGAGGAACACCGAUGGCGAAGGCAGCCCCCUGGGCCAACACUGACGCUCAUGCACGAAAGCGUGGGGAGCAAACAGGAUUAGAUACCCCAGUAGUCCCUGUCUCUUAUAC